AACAAGAUUGAAGCUCAAGAUCAAGAUGAAGAACCUGAAAUAUUGAUGAAGCACUGGAGGAAAGCGAAAAGGAAAAGCGAGAUCCUCUUGAGACAGAGCUGUAAAUAGUAUGCAAAUUUGUCAGUGUCAAGACGUUGAGAUAAUUCUACGAGUUUGGUGUUACCCUGACAAUGAGAACCUUCUGGAGCAACAGGAAAAGCCUUGUAGACUGAAGGAGAAGUAUUCUUUUGUGGAAAGAAGAAGUAGUCAACGUUGAGUGGAAAGCAUCUAGGGCAUGCCUUAGUGAGGAGUUUGUUUCUAGAAUCUGAGGCAGCAUGGGAAAGUGAACAUCUUAGAAGUAGCAGGAAGAGAGGAUGGCAUGUGGGUAGAAAAGCUAGACAAAUUUUACAGACGAAGACAAGCACAACUUUAUUUUAAAAUGUGGCCCUCAAAAUUUUGAUAAGUACCCUUCACAGAUUAGUUUUAAUAAGAAAAUGAUUUCUUCUAUAGGGAAAGUAAAAUGAUAGAAAACAUUAAUUUAGAAAUUUUCUAAAUGCUGGAAACUAUUUCUUUUUUUCAAUUUUUUAUUAUAUAUUUUCUUUAUUUACAUUUCAAAUGCUACCCCGAAAGUCCCCCAUACCCUCCCCCUGCCCUGCUCCCCUACCCAUCCACUCCCACUUCUUGGCCCUGGCAUUCCCCUGUACUGGGGCAUAUAAAGUUUGCACGACCAAGCUAUUUCAAGUCCUUAGCAUGCAUCAUUUUACUUUACCUGUCCAAAGAGUAUAAUGCUGUAUAGAUGCUAUAAUUUAUAGCCUGGAAAACUGAUGUAUGGAGACUUCAGUUACAUUUUUUGCCCUUCCCAUUUCUAAGGCAGUUGUCUGAACCAAAGAUUUAAAAGAUUUAAGAAAAAAACAAAAGUACUUUGAGUUCUGAGCCUACAACUCUAACCACAUAUUGAGCAAAGUGUUAGAUUUUAAGUCAAAACAAAUAUUUCAGUUAUAGAGAAAAAACUCAGAGAAGAAAAUUGUAGCAAGAUGUGCCCUUUCAAAAUUAAAAUAUGGCUGAAGUGUUUAAAGAUUUUUUUCUCCCUUUGCUGUAAGGCUUUACUGACCACUGAUAAAUGUGCGGUGUCUCAGACACAGAUUGGAAGCAAUGAGGUGGAAGCUUUUACCUGUUGCUCUAUGAUUUUCUGCAGCUGUGGUUUUCCAUUGCUGGAGUUUAGGGCUAUCUUGUCUUUUAGCUUUUUGGUGCCAGAGCCCAUUGAAUAUUGAAUUUGUGAGAAUUUUUAUUUCAUGUAGACUUUACUAUGCUUGAAUCAUCUAAAAUCAUUACCAGUUGUGAGCCUUUCCUGGCACUAACAUCUUGCUCCUAAGAUAUUUUCUAUUUUCUUA
rnacentral:lncRNA from 1 species